AGGAGAGCGAAAGCUUUUGGCAUUGACAUUGAACAGUCAGCUGUUGGGAAGAAGCAUAGAAAUAAGAAAAAUGUAGUAGAAGGCGGAGCAAAAGAAAAAGCUCCUCUGCGGGAAAGCCGCAAAAAGUCAGGGUCAGCUGUCCGCAUGCAAAAAUCUACAGUCGAGCUCCCUCCGAUGCUUUUAUUGCGACCGCCAGUAUAACCAAAUACUAUGAAUGUAUGUAAGUAUGUACAUGCAUACGUGCAUGUAUAGCACAUAUAGUUAGUAAAUAAAAAAUUAUGCGUUUUGGGUUAGGCUAGAUUUUAAUAAAACGGUGGAGCGCAUACGUUGCCAUCCUGUAAUCCCAAGUAGAAACCGACCCGCUGCUGCGGCUGACUUUGAUGCGCAUUUUGCUGCUGAUGCUGCUGGGAUAUAUCCUGGUACCCUGAUUCCAACUCGGUGUAGGACAUGAUUAUCCUUUGUGUUGGUGUUAGUGCGGGUUAUCCAAACAAAACAAGGAGCAAACAACAACACUGGGAAACGAUUUUCGUAUUCUGCUUUUACAUAUUUCACUCUCACACACACGCACGCGACUUUGCCGCGUGUUAAAAAUAAAAGUGUGGCUAAUAUUAUUGUUAACGAUUCUUUUUCUCUCACUGUCUUUCGGUUUACGAGUUACGAAAUCUGUUAUUGGUGUGGUUUUAUUAUUUGUAUUAUUAUUUUUUCAAUUUGGUUAGUCGUUCUAAAUUCGCCGCCGGCGGAAAGAUGGAAUGGGGUUGGGAAGGCACGCCGUCAGCUGGGUGAUUAAAAGGAUGAUCGCGAGGUCGGUCAGUUGCAUUGGGUUACGUGCUCACUAAUAAUUAAUGGUUAUUAAAUUAGUUUUCUCUCGCUUUUGAUUAUUUUUCUGCCUUUGCUGUUUUCUUUCACAGCCAACACACGCACACA